rnacentral:ncRNA from 1 species
AUAUGUUGAACUACACAACAUUUAAAAGGGUAGUACAAUCAACGCAGAUUGAGAACUGCGGAUUUACAAAUUAAAGCAGAUUUAAAGAUUGUAGGAGGAAG